AACGCACGAGACCUGCGGACCUGCGGAGGGAUCAUUACCGAGUUUCCAAAACUCCCAACCCAUGUGAACUUACCUCUCGUUGCCUCGGCGGGAUCGCCCCGGGUGCCCCAGGCCCCGGACCCAGGCGCCCGCCGCAGGACCCCAAACUCUUGUUUAGUGGAAGCUUCUUCUGAGUGAGAAAACAAAUAAAUCAAAACUUUUAACAACGGAUCUCU
rnacentral:misc_RNA from 1 species